UUACGGCCACAUCACGUUGAAACACCAAUUUGCGUACGAUCACCGAAGUUAAGCAACCUCGAGCCUGGUUAAUACCUCCAUGGGUGACCAUUUCGGAAUACCAAGCGCU